CGCUACGACGCCCAACAGGGAACCCGAAGUAGAGAGGGAUUCAGGAGCAGACCAGUUACUGCUUGGCUCCCACAAAUGGUUGCCUUGGAACUCUUUAUGGAUGAAGAGAAAACACCCACCACCACCGUUUCAUAACCCUGUACUGAAUGUGGAGACAAUAACCACCUACCCCCAAAAGGAAACUCCAGCAGGGUACAUGUAUCAAACCUAAGGUGUUGGUCAUGUAUUUUGGAUCAAUAAGUGAGGUUGUACUUUUGACUGGCUUGCAUCUUUCCUCUACCUCUAUACUCCAAGUUCCUGGCUGGCACUGGAGUUACAUCCUUAGCAUGGGCAUCAUAACCUCCAGGUGAGAUUCAGGCUUGUUUCCAAGAAGGAACCCUAACAGAAAUUCAGAAGCAUGG